rnacentral:rRNA from 1 species
AGCGGAGGAAAAGAAACCAACAGGGAUUGCCUCAGUAACGGCGAGUGAAGCGGCAAAAGCUCAAAUUUGAAAUCUGGCUCUUUCAGGGUCCGAGUUGUAAUUUGUAGAAGAUGUUUCGGGUGUGGUCCCAGUCUAAGUUCCCUGGAACUGGACAUCACAGAGGGUGAGAAUCCCGUAUGUGACUGGGUACCUACGUCCAUGUGAAACUCUUUCGACGAGUCGAGUUGUUUGGGAAUGCAGCUCAAAAUGGGUGGUAAAUUUCAUCUAAAGCUAAAUAUUGGCCAGAGACCGAUAGCGCACAAGUAGAGUGAUCGAAAGAUGAAAAGCACUUUGGAAAGAGAGUUAAACAGUACGUGAAAUUGUUGAAAGGGAAGGGCAUGCAAUCAGACUUGCGCCUAGUUGAUCAUCCGGGCUUUUGCCCGGUGCACUCGAUUAGGCUCAGGCCAGCAUCAGUUUAGAGGGUUGGAUAAAGGCCUUGGGAAUGUGGCCCCUCUCGGGGGGUGUUAUAGCCCAAGGUGCAAUGCAGCCACUCUGGACUGAGGACCGCGCUUCGGCUAGGAUGCUGGCGUAAUGGUUGUAUGCCGCCCGUCUUGAAACACGGACCAAGGAGUCUAACAUCUAUGCGAGUAUUUGGGUGUUAAACCCAUAUGCGUAAUGAAAGUGAACGGAGGUGAGAGCCCUUAAGGGUGCAUCAUCGACCGAUCCUGAUGUCUUCGGAUGGAUUUGAGUAAGAGCAUAGCUGUUGGGACCCGAAAGAUGGUGAACUAUGCGUGAAUAGGGUGAAGCCAGAGGAAACUCUGGUGGAGGCUCGCAGCGGUUCUGACGUGCAAAUCGAUCGUCAAAUUUGCGUAUAGGGGCGAAAGACUAAUCGAACCAUCUAGUAGCUGGUUCCUGCCGAAGUUUCCCUCAGGAA